rnacentral:rRNA from 1 species
CGCGGCCUAUCAGCUUGUUGGUGAGGUAACGGCUCACCAAGGCAACGACGGGUAGCUGGUCUGAGAGGACGAUCAGCCACAUUGGAACUGAGAUACGGUCCAGACUCCUACGGGAGGCAGCAGCAGGGAAUCUUGCGCAAUGGGCGAAAGCCUGACGCAGCGACGCCGCGUGGGGGAUGAAGGCCCUAGGGUUGUAAACCCCUUUCACGAGGGAAGAAACUGACGGUACCUCGAGAAGAAGCCCCGGCCAACUACGUGCCAGCAGCCGCGGUAAUACGUAGGGGGCGAGCGUUGUCCGGAAUUAUUGGGCGUAAAGGGCUCGUAGGCGGCUUGGCAAGUCGGCCGUGAAAACCCAGGGCUCAACCCUGGGACGCCGGUCGAUACUGCCAUGGCUAGGGUCCGGUAGAGGGGAAUGGAAUUCCCGGUGUAGCGGUGGAAUGCGCAGAUAUCGGGAGGAACACCAGUAGCGAAGGCGGUUCCCUGGGCCGGCACCGACGCUGAGGAGCGAAAGCGUGGGGAGCAAACAGGAUUAGAUACCCUGGUAGUCCACGCCGUAAACGUUGGGUACUAGGCGUGGCGUCUUAUCAACGGACGCCGUGCUCGAAGCUAACGCGUUAAGUACCCCGCCUGGGGAGUACGG